UUUCCCAGAAUGCACCGGGGGCACGCGCUGCCUCUCAGACCGCCUUCGUCCUGCUGGGCAGGGUGGCCGCGUGACCUUUGACCCUCCGUGACCUUUCAACCCAGUGGAAUGCGCCUCGAGGCUUCUUCCCUUCCCGAGUGGAGUGGCCAAGACGUGCGGACCAAGGCAAGCAAACGUGCAGGAAUGAGUGGAAGUUUCUGGAAGAAGGCCCAGAUGCAGAGGCACCUCUUGGCCUCCGUCCAUCCAUACCGCCAUUUUGACAGCGCUGGCCAGUUAACGUCUGGAAACCGCCAUUUCUCCUGAACAGAAGGGGGCGGAGCUUGCCGCAGUGCGUCUUUACGACAGCGGCGUCCGUCGCGCUCUGCGCCCCCAGCGCCUAUCCCAGCAUGCUUUAGGCGAGAGGCAGGAAUACACUCUGGACCGGUUGCAGAUCCAUCUUAGGUCACGCCCGCCAUUCACUCACAAACUCAUACCUACGGGCAAUUUAGACUCUCCAGUUAGCCUAACACCUCUUUGGGCUGUGUGAGGGAACCGGAGUACCCGGAGGAAACCCACGCGGAGACAGGGAGGGAUCUGAACCCGGGACCUUCUCGCUGUGAGGCGACAGUGUGUCCGUGUGUCACCCAUGUGUCGAAAGUGAAGAACGGAGUGUGUGAAUAAAACUGUUCACAAGAACAAAA